UACGAGGGGGGCGAGCGUUGUUCGGAAUUAUUGGGCGUAAAGGGUGCGUAGGCGGUUUUGUAAGUCUUAUGUGAAAUCUAUGGGCUCAACUCAUAGACUGCAUGAGAAACUGCAGGGCUUGAGUAUGGGAGAGGUGAGUGGAAUUCCUGGUGUAGCGGUGAAAUGCGUAGAUAUCAGGAAGAACACCCGUGGCUAAGGCGGCUCUCUAGUACGGUACUGACGCUGAGACGCGAAAGCGUGGGGAGCGAACAGG
rnacentral:rRNA from 1 species